rnacentral:sRNA from 1 species
UUGUUUUUUUUUAACAGAAUCAAGAAGAUGACGUUUCAAGUCAAUGCAGAGAUGUAUGUUCUGCUAUUCUUUCCGUUUCUCGUACAAGAAACACUCGCUCAAGUCUCAUGCCCGUCUCUUGAGACGUUAUGUUCGACAAAUAUAGACGGUCGUAAAAUUUCCUCCUUUGUACGUAACCACAAAAAAUUUUUUUGUGAGCAUGGAACUGACAAUUAUAAAUGGAUUGCA